rnacentral:rRNA from 1 species
GAUGAACGCUAGCGGCAGGCCUAAUACAUGCAAGUCAAGGGGUAGCAAUACACCGGCGGACGGGUGCGUAACGCGUACACAACUUACCCUUAAGAGGGGGAUAGCGGCGGGAAACUGCCGGUAAUACCCCAUGGUAUUAAGACAUCGCAUGGUGUUUUAAUUAAAGUACAAGCGCUUAAGGAUGGGUGUGCGUCUGAUUAGCUAGUUGGUGAGGUAACGGCUCACCAAGGCGACGAUCAGUAGGGGGUGUGAGAGGAUGAUCAGCCUCACUGGGACUGAGACACGGCCCAGACUCCUACGGGAGGCAGCAGUGGGGAAUACUGGACAAUGGGCGCAAGCCUGAUCCAGCCAUGCCGCGUGGGUGAUGAAGGCCUUAGGGUUGUAAAGCCCUUUCGGCGGGGAAGAUAAUGACGGUACCCGCAGAAGAAGCCCCGGCUAACUUCGUGCCAGCCGCCGCGGUAAAAC